rnacentral:rRNA from 1 species
AACGGCGAGUGAAGCGGCAAAAGCUCAAAUUUGAAAUCUGGCUCCUUAGGGGUCCGAGUUGUAAUUUGUAGAGGAUGCUUCGGGUGCGGCCACGGCCUAAGUUCCUUGGAACAGGACGUCAUAGAGGGUGAGAAUCCCGUCUUGGGUCGUUGGUCCACGCCCGUGUGAAGCUCCUUCGACGAGUCGAGUUGUUUGGGAAUGCAGCUCUAAGCGGGUGGUAAAUUUCAUCUAAAGCUAAAUAUUGGCCGGAGACCGAUAGCGCACAAGUAGAGUGAUCGAAAGGUUAAAAGCACCUUGAAAAGGGAGUUAAACAGCACGUGAAAUUGUUGAAAGGGAAGCGCUUGCGGUCAGACUCGAGCGCGGGGUUCAUCAGGUGCGAGUCAUCUGUGCACUCCCCGCUGCUCGGGCCAGCAUCAGUUCUGACGGCCGGUCAAAGGCCCCCGGAAUGUGUCGUCUCUCGGGACGUCUUAUAGCCGGGGGUGCAAUGCGGCCUGUUGGGACUGAGGAACGCGCUUCGGCUCGGAUGCUGGCAUAAUGGCCGUAAGCGGCCCGUCUUGAAACACGGACCAAGGAGUCUAACAUCCACGCGAGUGUUCGGGUGUCAAACCCGUGCGCGCAGUGAAAGCGAACGGAGGUGGGAGCCUUAGGGCGCACCAUCGACCGAUCCUGAAGUCUUCGGAUGGAUUUGAGUAGGAGCGUGGCCGUUGGGACCCGAAAGAUGGUGAACUAUGCCUGAAUAGGGUGAAGCCAGAGGAAACUCUGGUGGAGGCUCGCAGCGGUUCUGACGUGCAAAUCGAUCGUCAAAUUU